rnacentral:rRNA from 1 species
UAACCUGCCCAAGAGAUCGGGAUAACACCUGGAAACAGACGCUAAUACCGGAUAACAACAGAUGAUGCCUAUCAACUGUUUAAAAGAUGGUUCUGCUAUCACUCUUGGAUGGACCUGCGGUGCAUUAGCUAGUUGGUAGGGUAACGGCCUACCAAGGCGAUGAUGCAUAGCCGAGUUGAGAGACUGAUCGGCCACAUUGGGACUGAGACACGGCCCAAACUCCUACGGGAGGCAGCAGCA